rnacentral:lncRNA from 1 species
CAUGCAUGCACAUAUAAUAUAUAAAAUAUCGGAAAAACUUCAAAUAUCACCCAUGUGGUUUCACACUUCUCACUUUAGUACCAUAUGGUUUAAAAUGUAUCAAUUUAAUAUCAUGUGGUUUUAUUUUUAUUUUUUUAUUAUCGAUUUUACUAAUUUUUUUCGUUAAAUCAGUGAUAAAGUUUAAAAUUAAAAGGUACUGAAGUGAAUAUCUGAUAAACCUAGGUAAGAUAUCUGUAGUUUUUUGCAUAUAAUUUAACGAAAUAUUAACGAAAAACUGACGAAAAAAUAAAAAUGAAAUCACAGGACACUAACUUGAAAUACUUUAAACACAGGGUACUAAAGUGAGAAAAUGCGAAACUACCAGAUGGUAUUUGGAGUUUACCCUAAUAUAUAUAGAGAGAGAGAGAAAAGAAGAAAGAUAGAGACUACUGCACUUUGAAAAGUGCGGAGCUUUUUAUACUUUUAUAGAUUACUUUUGACGAUGGAAUAUUUGAUUGGGAGAUCAAUUCUGUUAAAUAUAAUCUAUAAUGUUGAAAUUGUUUAGAAACAAAGGUUUAUGAUUUUUCAACACCGUUUGCCUAAUAAAUGCCUAAUAAAUGCAUAGCUUCAAAAUGAAUGAUUGAAAAUAAAAAUCUCGUCAAAAAAUAAUGACAGAGUACUUAAAUUUUAAAUCAAAAAUAUUGAUCUUGAUGAUAAGUAGAAUUUAUUAUUAAAGUUUUAUCUAAUUUAAAUUAUUCUACGCCAUUAAACUUACAAACUCACCAUAUCAGUUAUUAAAAUAGUUAUUUUUGAACCUGUUUGAUAACUUAGUAAAUUAUAUCGAAAAAUUAUAAAAUUUAGUUUUCAAACACUUUUAAUGGCGUAAAUCAUACCUAAUAGAGUGGAUAGUCAAAUCGAAUAUCUCAUCAUUAAAAAUAAUUUAAAAAUACAAAUAUUUUCGUGCUUUCACAAAUAGACCAGAUUGAUGUAAAGAUACAUGAUGAAAUGGAGAGAGAAACAUUUACGUCCAAUAUUGGCGUGGUUUGGUGGUGGCAAUCCCUUGUUUCCAUCCUCACGUGCAUGGUGGCCUCGUAAAUUUAAAUGCAUUCCGUGGCCUCGUACAUUAAUUAACUGUAACAUAUUUUUUAAGCAGGUGGCAAAAAAUUUACUGGUUGGUACCCGAGAUCCAAGUUCGAAUCCUAGUUGAUUCACAUUUUCAGCUAUGUUUAUUUCUAAAUGAAAUAAACGAAGCGGGUAGCGUGCUACCUAUCUCUCUCAAAAAAAAAAAAAAAAAAAACAUGUUUUUUAAGCUGCAAUUUAUAAUAUUUUACGCUUUAAAUUAAGGCCAAUUAAAAAAGGAAGGAUCACCGUGCACUUUGCCCCCUUGCAAAUUUAAGGCCAAUUAAAAAAGGAAGGAUCACCGUGCACUUUGCCCCCUUGCAAAUGCAGUCCAUGGCCUCCUUUCCCCCCAUAUAUCCCAAAUGACGUGAACUUUGUUUGGGAUAUAUGGGGGGAAAGGAAGGAUCACUGACAGAAGUAUAACAGAUUUACUGAUCUAGUAGGCUACUGGUGGAUAAUUUGAAAGGUCAGAAACAACACAAUCUUUCGGAAUAUCCUACCGAACCCCAAACUUGUGGUACACAGACUCAAACUUCUUGUGAAGGAGUGGAACCUCCUCCUCGUUUAGUUGUUUUUUUCUUUUUCUUUUUUCUUUUUUACUUUUUCAGUUUAGUUUAGUUUUUUCUCGAGGUGGGUUGCCCCACACUUGUAGCUUAAUUCAUCUAUCUAAUGAAUGAAGCGGAUAGCGUAAUACCUUUUUCUCAAAAAUAAUAAUAAUAAUAAUAAUAAUUACAAAAAGGCUAAAUUAAAUAAAACCUCCAUGUCAAAAUCCGAUUUUUCACUUUCCCCCUCUGUCAUUUAAAAACCUACACUUUGGCCCCUUAUAAAAUGAAAAAUGUUCACUUCGCCUCCUGCCGUUAGUAAUUCGUUAGGGUUCCGUUUAUAAAAUAUUAUUAUAUGAUUUUUUAUGCCAAAAAUGCACUGUCUUUUCUCUUGUGAACAUAAUGAGGGCAAAAUGAUGAGGGACAAAAUAGUCAUUUUAUCAUCACAGUUCACACCGUACCUCUCUGUGAACAUUUUUUAUUUUACAAGGGGGACAAAGUGUAGGUUUUUAAAUGACAGGGGGGGAAGUGAAAAAUCGGGUUUUGACUGGGUGGGGGGAGGGGUUCUGUAAUUUAGCCUUACAAAAAAGCUAAGGGAUAAUUGCCUAUAUACCCCUCAUGUGUCUGGAAAUAUUCGAUCUACCCCUACUUUUUUUUUCUUUCUAAAAUGUCCCUCAUAUGUUCUACCGUUAUUCCAAAAUACCCCGCAGUUAUCCUCUGUUAGCUUUUUUUUUUUUUUUGAGAGAUAGAUAACACGCUACCCGCUUCGUUUAUUUUAUUUAGAAAUAAACUUAACUAGAAAUGUGAAUCAACUAGGAUUCGAACUUGGGUCUCGGAUACCAACAACCAAGUUAAAUAUGGGUUAAAUGUAUACUAGAGUUAAAACCUAUAUAAAAUACCUAUUUUACCCCUACCUUAUUAUGUUAAUUCCUUAAGUUAUUCUCUUUCUCUCCCAACAUGAUCGUCGUCUCCUCCGCCUCCACCUCGCCUCAUCUCCUCCUAGACCACCACCACCUCCCAGACCACCACCCCUCUCACCGCUAUCCUCCUCCUCCUCCUCCGCCGCCGCCGCCGCCUUGGCCGGCGCCGGGAGCCUAUGGAUUUGUUGAAUCGUCGUCGUCCUCCUCCUCCUCCGACCUCUCCCUCCUCAACUCCCACGCCUACAUCCACCCCGACGGCGCCCGCACGCUCCGCUUGCGCCUGCCAAAGGCCGAAUCGCCCGCCUCAUGCACGCGAGCACCGACGCAGCCCGCAAGAUCAUGGAUCUCUGGGUCGCCCGCAACCAGCACCCCUCCCCUACCACGCCCAACCACACCAGGCCCUCGCCCUUGCGGACGCCGGAGCGCGGCACGCUCUCGCCCUCACGGUCGCCCGACUACGGCGCGCCCUCACCCUUGGGUGUGCGCAGUCCACGAGGCCAAUUUGGCCGCGUGGACCGGAUGAGAGGGAGGUCCACUGCGAACCUCCCUCUCAUUAUAUAUAUAUAUAUAUAUAUAUAUAGUAUUUUAUUUAUAUAUAGAAAUAUUAUUAUAUAAUAUUUUAUUUAUAAAUUUGUAAUUAUUUAUUAAUAUUUUUAAAUAUAUAACUCUUAUAUAUUAUUAGUAUAUGUUUAUUAUAAUUUUAAAUAUAUUUAAUCUAUAUAUAAAUAUUAUAAUAAUAAUAUAUAUAGUAUAAUAUCGAAUUUUUAAAAAGUAUAUAUAAAAAUUAUAUUUGAUCCCGAAUUUUUAAUUGGUGAACGUAUAAUACUCGUAUAAAUCACGUAUCCGAAUAACUACCGAAUCCAUUUUUUAGCCGUAUUUUUCAACGAAUUUAAAAAUUAAAAGACGAAUUUUAUCCGAAUUAUAUCCGUACCGAAUUUUUGCCGAAUCCGAAUUAACUAACUAUGCCUCCAGCCACCAAGGUUGGUUUAACUACAAUUGAUCUCAUCCGUUCAUCUGCUCGCUCCCGAUGUGCUUAAUUAAUUAAUUAAUAUUUGAAGGGCAAAUAAGAAAAGUAUUUGCUAUAUGAAGGGUAUAUAAGAAAAGUUAGUUACGGUAGAAGGGUAUAUAGGAAUGGGCAAAAUAUUAAUUUUUCAGAGAUAACGGCAACUCACUAACGGAACUUAACUCCAGGGAUAUAUUAGAAAGACUUGGAACAUAAGAAGGAUAUUUUCAAUAUUACCCUUUUAAGAGGGGUAAAUAAAAAAAUCGGGAACUUUUCAGGGGUAUACAGGCAAUUGCCCCCAAAAGCUAAAAGUUCAUAGGCCUCUCUAUGUACGCUUCACCCAGAAAAGGGAAAAUGUAUAGUACUAGAAAAAUGAGCAUAAAGCAUAUAUCUGCUUUCUCUUUCAUGCUAAGAGCUACUACCUAUUUGCACCAUCUAAAAAAACAAAAAACAGAUUUAAGAUAACAUACUUGCUCAACUUCUAAGGUUUCUUUAUAUGAACCGUAUACAGUAAGCAUUCAAUCUGACAAAGUUUCUCUACAAGUACAACUUCUAUUUGAUUAUACAGAGGCCAAAAAACAAAAAACAUGUUUUGAGCACAGCACAAUUCCGCUAAGAAAGUAACCGUCAAACUGCGUGAAAAUUUAACUUGAUCUACUACACAAGAUGGCAUCACAUUUUCUUAAACUACCAAAGAAACAUGAGUACCUAAUGAUUAGAGAGAGAGAAGAAGUCACACCUUGCAGAUCCUGAACAUCUCGAGCUCCAAUUGGCGUAGAGUACCUUGCAUCGACCGAAACACCAGCACUUCCAGAGUUCUGGUACCAUGAAAGAAGAUGCAACAAUUCAGUUUUCAAAUGAUGUUCAACUAUGUGUAAGUAUGUGAUAUUUGAUGUAAUAUUGCGAUGAUUAUUCAUGACCGAAUUCUCUGCUUAGAAACUACUGCACAUCAGGCCUAAGUUUUCAGGUACUUACUGGACUCAGCAGCUUUAGAUUGGAGAAUCUUAAGUUGUGCAGAAUCACUUUGCUACAAUAUAUUGAUGGCUAUGAACAUAAUGAACAAGAUACUGGAUCGCAACUAAUUCCUUCAACCAUCGGCUCAGGCUGAUAAAAACAGAGGUUUCACUGGCAUACCACAUGUUGGAGGUAAAUUAUAAUUUAGGCCUCACGAACACUAAUGGAGAUAUGAAAAAUUCAAACACAAACAAAAUUAAGCAGAGAGAUAGUUUAGAAGGACGCCAAUUUUGGAUUGCCUGGACUGUCGCAAGCAUUUGAAGCCUUGGUAGUUAAUUUUCGGUUCACAAGUGUAUUCAUGUAAAUCUUGGAGCUGUAAAUAAUUUUUUACAGUAGUAAAUUGACCUCAUCAAUAGGUUAAGCUAACCUGUUGCCAUUUUCAAAACGAAAAAAUUAAGAGAAAAAGAAAAAGAAAAAAAAAAACUAUAAUGGAGAUAUCAAUUUGAUCCCUCGACUCUUUGUUGGUAUAAAAAAUAACAUAACAAAAUAUACAAAGGAUUAAUUUUCACAAGUAGUAGAAAGCAAAGCAGAAGAAACUGAAGUGUGCAUUAGAUACCUCCAAAAGCUUUCGGAGAUUCACAUAUAGAAAUAAAGCAGGACUAAGUUGGCCUUAAUAAAUGGAUGAUCAUUUGCAUGUGUAAAUUGAUGACAAUGCCUUCCCUUUCUUUCAGGAAAAGAGACCUAUAAGCCUUUACAAUAUGAAGUAAAUGUAUGAAAGAAAGAAAAGAGGGAUAAGAGUGAACUACUUCAAGUGACAGAUGGAUCCACUUCUCUCAGUUACUGCCAGAUGAAUCCAAUAUUUUUGCUCCUUGUAUAUAGAAAUAUUUUAUAAAGGUAUACAAAAAAUGAGGUUGUUAUCUUCCCAACUGCCUCCAACCUGCACAAAAUAAAAGGAUCAUAGAAAUUACCAUUCCAUACUUUUCAAUAGUUCCAAUUCAAUACUCAUAUCAAUUUAUCAUUCCAUAAUAAAAGGAUGAAAUAUGAAGAUCAUUUCACUUAUCAUUUACCUACCAUGUAAUACUCAUUACUAUGAUGUGCAAUCUGUGCUUAGCAAUUUGAUUAUCAGUAAGAACCCAAACAGAGAAAUAUAUGUAUGAUACCACUUGAAAUAAUACAGGCAUUGUUCCAUGCAAUUAGGGCCUAUUUGGCGGGGCUUAAGCUUCUGCAAGAGAGUCAUAUUGAGCAAUUGGAAAAAGCAUUGACAGCUUUUUAAUUAAAAUCACCCCAACAACAUCCAAUUGCAGUAGAAGCAGACCUUUCAAUUGCAGUUUCUAUUUGUGAGUCCCAAAAGCUCAUUUCAGGUUAGCAGCCGCAAACGAACAAGAACUAUUCUUUGCUUAACCCUAAAUACUUCUCACAAGUAGAGCUGAUUCCAAAUCUCUGCGAAAAAGGCAAUUUGUCAUUUAAGCAUCUUUUCACUGGAUAAUCUCGUACCAAAGGUUUCCCUUGGCAAUUAGUCUGGGGAACGCUUUAAGGGCUGUUUGGUACUGAGGUCCAUCUAAUGCUAAUAGAUAAAAUGAAGUUGGGGCAAAAACAUAUAGGAAAAUGCUUCUGUGUUCUCCAGUAGGACUGCAGAAAAUAUAUUAUAACCAAUUCAUUGUGAUAUGUGGAACGUGAUAUUAUAUAUGGAAACAAAAAAGAUAUUUUCUCAUCGUACUUUUCCACUGCACAUAACGCAAUCGUCCCGUAAUCCCAAACAGAGCCCAAGUGUUUGUAAAAUGUAAAUGAACAUUUUUGGGGAAUCCGAGUACCAUACAUAAAUAUGAAAAUUAACAAUUUAAAUUCUAACAAAUAGCUUCAACAAAUAAAAAAUGAGCUAACCUAAUGCACAAUCAGUGAGAAGUGUUUUUUGUUUCGUUGUUUCCAAAAAAAACUCACCAUUUGUGAACAAGUAAGAGAAAAGAAGUUCAUUCCAAGCAUCUGGAACUCCAGGGAGACACCAGUGGCUGCAAUCCAGAUCGGGAGAAGGGUAAUUCCAAGUGCCAAUAUGAGCAUCACUUCGGAACAAACCCAUCGAAGUAACGUUCAGCAAAGUCACGGGAACUCUCAUAUUGGUAACCACAUCAUUGAGAAUUUUACCAAAUUCACUCUUGUCCUCAAAAGAUGGCUGUUUCGAUACAUUGCACCCCUUUCCGUUUGAGCCACUAAGUUACCACAAAAACACAAAAAGCUAGCAAUUAUAUUAUGAAGGAAAACAUACAGACAAUCCAGGACCUCUAGCGCAUUUUGAAAUGAGUGCCUAAACUUUUGACAGCAUUUUUGUGGUACAUUUUAAGAUGUUUCAUGUAUAGAUGAACUUCAUGAUUUAAUGCCUUCAACCAUUAAAGCUGUCAUUCAUCAUAACGCAUCCAGAUUUUACCUGCUCUUUUGAGUGGCAACAGGCUUUAUAUGUUCUAAUAAGUUGGAUCAUCGUAGGCUUUACCUACACUAAACUUAUUUUCAUCUGAACUUUGCUGUUGUAUUUGGUUCUAGUUUCUAGAUGAUGCAUUUGCAAUAUGUGCCCUGUUUCCAACAUUUUUUUAAUAUUUUGCAGAAAUUUCCAAUUCAAUGAAACACCCCCAAAAAUUGCCAGAAAUUAAAGAGAUGACAGUUUAUUAUGAUUUCCAUACUGAAACUUAAAUUCGACCUAUCUUCAUAUUUUCUUUAUGCUGACACUUAUAGGUCUUCUAGCAGGUUUCAUGUAAUUUCACCAAAUCAACAAUCUCUUUUAGAGAUCGAAUGUACUUUAUUUGAUAUUGCCAUGUUGCCAUCAAAUGGAUCUUGCAGCAGUAUCCACUCUUUUCUGCCUUUUGCAUUCAGGACACAUCACUGACCUUUGAAUGCGAAAGGAGUAGGUUUCUGGACCAAAAGGAUCUGCUGAUAAAACCUCCUCAGUGUAGAAAUGCGACAGUAAAUUAUCUUAAAAUUCGAGGGGUCCAACACAAUGAAUGUGCAUUGUAUCCGCCUUAACAUUUUCUAGAAACUUGUCUUACCCUUCCAUAGAACCUCAAACAUCACUGCAUAAAAACUAGCAUCUACUUAUCAGGUGCAAACUUCUGUUUUUUUUUUUGUUUUUGUUUUUUUUUUUUUUGGUGAAAAGUUGAGGUGAACUUUGCAUGUCAGUUCCGAAUCCAGUGGUUAUAGAAGAACUAAUGUCAUUCCUGUAAUCCAGUGGAUAUAGAAAACAAACUAAGUUGCAGUUCCAGAGACUUCAAGAAUGUUUUGGAACAAAUGAGAUGCGCACCUCCAAUGAGAAGGCUCAUAAGUCCUGAAAAAGACUUGAGUUCUAUUUGUGUCUACGAUCUUUUCUACCCACGACGCCCAAGUGUGCAAAGCCAUUCUAAAGGCAGCAUUGAUGGGCAUCCCAAGCUUGAGUCGUCCUCCGGCCUGGAAAUGGCGACCCCUGUUGAAAAAUCCGACGUGAAAAUAGUAUAAGGAAACAAUAUAAACAUCAUAAGGCAUUAUUCAUAACCAUAUACGUUUUAUAAGAACAAACACUAUGCAUUCGCUUUAGCUUCUAAGUCACGAAGCUCAAACUAUAUAAAUGUUUUGUCCAUAAUUAGUACAGGCAAAUCAUGCAGCAAAGCAUACCAGAGUCACAACAUACACCUUAGAACAUUCAGAUUCCCGGGAGUGAAAUGUUAUUAAUUACCUGUUUAUUUUUUGAAUCUUCUACAUAUUAAUCAAAUUUUACGCAAAUUAUGAAUCAAAAAAUUUCAUAGAAAUUUAGAAGAAAAGGAAACGGAUGUUGCACAAUGACAGAAAUAGUACAGAAAUCUUGCUAACAAGUAAAAAGACACCUUAGAUCUAUAAAGAGAAGUUGUUUUUUGCAGUACAAACUACUACAUUCAUAAAUGUGUUAUCAAGAUAGGCAGAAACUUUGAGCUACAAAUAAAGUGAAAGAAUUGAGAGCCAAAAAGUGCGCAACUUACACAUGAAACAGUUUACUUCGAGUCCACCAAUGGCCAGAAUUGAAUACAAGAAUAUCCGAAUCAACCCACUUACUACUUAUCUCAUCCACCUUGUCCAGCUCGAGUAUCGCCCGGACCCUUCUAGGCCCGUGCUUCGGCGGCGAACCCUGCCGCACCAAGAACACAGAGCGGAAGAACUCCACACUAAGAUUAUAUCUCUCAAACCUAACACCCAAGAAGCGAACCGUCUUUGUGAUCUCACUCCCGUUCACCUCAUAAACGUUCCCUGGAUCUCCCACCCCACUCAUAAGCAUACAAAUCAAAGACUCCCACUGCGUCCGGCUCAUCGAGUCGCCCACGAAAACAACACGUUUCCCCCUAACCGAUUCGAGCACAUUAUGAGGACUAAACUUGGGCAAAUCGCAAUGCCGAGGCUUCCACCUCAAUUUAAGAUACCCACUAUCCUUUCUCCCAUUUGCCAAGCAAUUGAAACCACGCUCCGCAAAAGGGCAUUUUGAGCUAUUAUACAGCGGGUAUGAAUCAUCGAAAACCCAAUCACCAUCAAAUACAUCACAAAAACCCUUCUUGAUGAUGAAUCCAGAUAACAAGCUCCCCCUACAGGGGAAUCGACGCAAAUAGAGAUGGAUAACUGAUCCAAUAACUACAGCAGAAGAAACUAUGAAGAAGAUUAGGGCAAUAGAGUCAAAUACCAACCCCGAAACCCACGAUUUCCGAGUCCUACUCAUUUCCCCCCAAAUCCACGAUCAAACCUACUUAAUUGAAACAAGAAAUCGGCGAUAACAUACGAAACGAAGAGGAAAUUGGAGGGGAAAAGAGGCGUAACCGGAUUGAGGGGGCGAUUCGUUGAUGAUUCUUCCUUGUUUAUAGUCGAAUCGGAGAAACCCUAAUCCUAGAUGUUGAGAUCGCACGCGCAUGCACACACUCUUUCUCUUUCCCGCUCCCGCGCGCGAAGAAUUUGGCGGGGGCGCGGGAAGAGAGGGGUGGGUCCGGUUGGUAGUCCACCGACCGAGGGUAUUUUCGGUGUUUUACGAUUAGUUUAGUUCUUUUUCUUUUUCUUUUUUUCUUUUUUUUUUUUUUUUUUCUUUUCAGAGCCCACUGUAUCUGCUACGGAUUGAGGGAAGGGGAUCGCAAAAUAGAUAGUAUUUUCUAUGUGAGCUGAUUGUGUUAGUGGAGCACCCGGUAGUAGGGGUGUAAACGAGUCCAACACGAGCGAGCUAAGAUCGACUUGUGUUCAGCUCGUUUAAUAAACGAGUCGAAUAUGAGCUGACUCGUUAAAAUAUCGAGCCGAAAAAUUCAGUUCUUGUUCGGCUCGUCAAUAAACGAGCUGAACACGAGCUGGCUCACGAGCUGGCCAACAAACAAUAAGUUAAAAAAAUUAGAUUGAAUAUAUAUAAAAAAUAAUUUUAUAAAAUCUUAUUCAUUAGAUUUUGAUUUAAUAAUUGAAAUUUUACACAUAAUGAGUCCUUUUAUAAUUAAGCUCGUAUUUAUAUUGUUAUUUUGCUAAAAAUUAAAUAAUAAAAAUAUAUUAUAUAUAAUUAUUUAUUUAUAUAUAAAAAUAUAAAUUAUAUAAAUAUAAAAUAUAUGUAUUCGAGUUGUUAUCGAGCCAAACACGAGCGAGCUGACCCAGCUCGUGCAGCUCACUCGUAUUCGGCUCAUUUAGUAAACAAANGAAAAAUUCAUAUUCGGCUCGUUUAUUAAACGAGCGAUUCGAUUUCGAGUUUAUUUCGAGCUGAAUACAAGCUGGCUCGCGAACAGCGAACCGGAUUGCCACCCCUAUCCAGUAGUGACUAGUUUUUGAAAGAUUAUAUUAUAAAUAUUAGGACUGACUAGGCUAGUUUUUAUUAUGUUUUAUUUUCAUGAGAGGUGACGGUGUAUACAUUACGAAUCAUGUAUGCACAGUAUGAUUUUAUGCUAUAGUUUUAUUGAUGUCAGCUCUGAUAUUUAUUGUAGUAGAUAUUUAAUUAUAUUUUGCAGGUUUAGACGCAUCGUGUGCAUAGGGCUCUCCGUACAUGCGGUGAAUUUAUUGGUGCGCCCAAAUUUCUGCUGCAACGCGGGACGUGGCAGAUUAAAUUAAACACGAGCUAACAUCAUAAGUAAUGCAAUCUUGUAAGUUGUUCUACGUAGUGGUAGUUUAUUGGUUGGUACUAGGAAUGUAAAUGAUGCCCGAUCCGGCACGUCCUCGAGCCGGGCUACAGCGCGAUGCGAAUACUGUAGCCUCCGUGUCAGACAGACCCGGCCCAAGCCUUCUGGCCAUGUUGGGCCACUCCUCUGGGGCCCGACGAUCCAGCGCGGCACGGCUCGAAACGUGCUUGAACCGUACCGGGUCGAGAAGAGGCGGGUGGCCCGGUACAACACGGCUCGCUUGGGCCAUGCCAACCGGGCCAGCACGGCCCAGUCCCCCAAGGCACAAGUGCCUUAGGCCUUGGGGCCUAAGCUUCUAGGGAGAAGGGCAAAAGCUCUCCUCCCAGGGUCUAACCUUGGAAUGAGUGAUUUUGGUCCAAUAAACUAAAGAAUUUUGAUUCAUUAGAUCAAAAUCUCAUUUCAUUUUUUUUUCUCAAAAAAAAAAAAAAACAAAUUUAUUAAUUUUUUAAAAAAAAUAAAUAUUUACUAUAUUAUAAUUAUUUUUAUAAAUUUUUAACGAUUUAAUCAAAAUAUUAAUUUAAAUAAAAAUAUUUAUUAUUUAUAUUUUAAAUUUUAUACUAAAUUUUUAAAAAAAAUAUAUAAAAAUAAAUACUUUAAGAGCCCGGCCCGAAGCACGGCCCGGCCCGGCACAGCCCGUGCCUUCCAGGCCGAAGGGCCAUGCCGUACCGGAGGCUAGGCAGCUCGACUUGCCAUGGCCCAACCCAAAAUAGAAGCCGGGCCGUGCCAGGCCGGGCCGGGCUGGCUACUAGCCUGUUUCGGCUUUCAGUACAACCCUAGUUGGUACUAUCACAUGAAAAAUUCUAGAAUACAAUAGGUAUAUUGGUGACGUAGCGUAACAAGCCAAUCAAAUAUUUCGUUUUAGGGAUAUAUGUCCCAUCAUGAUUAUAAAAAAAUAUUUUUAUUAUAUUUUUGUUUGAAAAGAAAGAAUGUGAUUGACUUGUUAUUGAUGACGUGGUGCCAGUGUGAUAGUGUAGAAUUCCUCCUAUCACAUAUAUUGGACAACCUGGUUUAUAGAGGAUCCAUUACCAACCACAAGAAAGUUUGUUGACAAGUUAUUCCUUUUUUUUUUUUNUAUUCUUUUUUUUUUUUACUUUUACUGUAGCAAGUAAACUUCUAGAAAGGCCAUUAAUUGAAACAGUACUUAGUAAAUAAAGAGGCUACAGUUGUUUUAAUUUUAAUAUCAUCAUAUAUAUUAAAACUAAUUUUUGGAGGUAAAAAACAGAAGCUUUAAUUUAAAUUCUUCUUUAAGUGGCUCUACUCUCCAUUAAUUUCGAAAAUAGGAUUGUUAAUUAUUCCUUGAACAUGGUCAAAACAACAGAAUCAUAUAAAAAUGGUUUUUGAAAAAUUUCUUAAUAUAAUAUUAUUUAGUCGAAAUUCAUAAUCAUUCAACAUAACUUCAACUAAUUUUGAGGACUUAGUGAUGUUUGGUUUCUCAAAAAGUUGUGGAAAAACUAUUUUCUAAAAAAAAAAAAAUCAUGAAAAACAUUCUUUCCAUAGCAAAAAUCAGCAAAAAAAAAAGAAACCAGAAAAACUAGUCUUAUAAAUCGAACGAACUUAAAAUCAGUUUGCGAUGCAACUCAUCCAACCAUUUGUACUCUGCUCAUUUCUGUACCAAGAGAGGCUUAAAGAACAUCUAUGCGAAAAGGAACAUGCACAAGAAGAACCCAACAGAGGGAUACGAACAAAAACAUUGUGACAAAUCUCCCCGCAGAGAAUCGGUCUAAUCAACAAUAUCAUUGCUUUACGAUUCGUUGUGUCGAACGGCCGACUAAACCGUCUAUUAGUGGGAGGCUCCCCAUAUAUAAAUUUUUUUCCAAAAUAUACGUAGGGAUGAAGAAACUAAAAUUUACAUCAAUUCCGCAAAGCAUUCAACUUCCAGCUCUUAAUUGAUGGCUAUAGGGGUAAUUCUCUUCUUGGUAGGCUUAUUCGGUGCGGAGUUCUUGGUUGACGUUGAUGAUGGUUGUGUUCCUUCCCCGGCCUUUGAAUCUGUCUCCUUGUCGACUUUGCGCCCAAUAUCUUCCUUGUCGACUUCCAUAUUGUCCACCAUUUCAGGCUUCAGGCUGCUCAUAUUUGCAUUCCCUUCCACAGAUUUCUUUUCAUCUAUACCCCACAAAAAAAAAAGAAGAAAAAAAGAAUGAAAGAGAUCAUUUAAGGAUGAAGUUCAAUCAAAACAUCAAUUGCAACAAGAACCUAAUCGUGCUUCCGUGUUCAGCAAUUCACUAAGUAAAAAGAAAAUGAAAGUUAAGGAGUAAAAUGUGAUGGCAGUCCUCAAACCUUCAACAAAUUGCAAUUUGGCGGCUAUUAGUCAAUUUAAAGUAGAUUAGGAUGUACUCGGAUACCAUGUUAUGAAUAUCACGACAAGUGCAAUAACUAAACAGUUUAAGCUAAUUAUUGAGCGAAUUGCAACUCAUUGAAAGUUCAGGUAAUAGCCUGAGUAGAAAAAUAUGUAAUUUCUCCUAAGUAUAUAAUAUCUUUUGCCUGUCUAUACCUUACACUAAGAAUCUUACACAACAUUCCUUUUUCCUGUUCCCAUGAGCUUUCCUAUUAAUUUUGGCAAACCAAUGUCCUCUGAAUGUUAAUUGCUAUUAAGAGACUAAUUAUAGGAUUGAGGGGAAACGGUGAAGUCGGUCUAAUACACUGCCAUAAUAAGAGAAUAAGAGCAAAAUUGCACAGGGAAAUCAUGCACGACAAGCGUCAAAAGGUCAGUAGGUAUCUUCUCAACUAGCAUACUAGUGUCCUAUUUUGUCCUCAUAAAGUAAUAUGUGAUGUCUUCAGCAUCUUCACAACUUCAUCGAGCAUCUGAAGAACAAAAGCUUUAACCAUCAAAGAUUACCUGAGAUCGUAUAAGUCUGUCCAAGCUCGUCAUUCUCAAAUUCUAUAAUAGUACAAUACCCAUCUCGUGACGACAAUGCAAGGUGCUUCGCGUCAGACGACCUAGCAUGAGUAAAAUGGUAAAUCACUUUGGACCAAAAAAAUUAAAUUUUACAUACAUACCCCUAUGAAAUUAUGUUUAAAAUAAAUUAAUUACAUAUAUACCAUAAAAAAUAAAUACCCUACGACUAACAAAAACGCCCAUCUUAGAUAACUAUUUUUCGAUGACUCCCCAGCCUUAGAAAAGGGUUCUCUUUUUGGGGCUAAAAAACUGCAGUUUCCGGGAGUAUUUAUAAUGUUUCAGAUUUUAUAGAGGUAAUAUAUAUAAACAGAUUACUUGUGCAGAGGUGUAUGUGCAAAAGCCCCAGCAAAAAAUCAUCCACGGACCAAUAAAAGACAAAUUCAAAGUCCACAGAAAUCUUAAAAAGUGAAAAAAAAACAUUUGCUGCAGCAAGGCAUAUUGAGAAGGUACUGACCAAGUGAUAUCUGUGAUGGCUGCAUAGUGAAGUCCACCAAACACUGCUAUUGGGAGGGAGCUUUCGGUAUCGUAAAUGUAGAGAGAAUUCAAAGUAGCCACAGAAAAAAUCACUCUAUAAGGAAGCUUAAAGAAACCAUCUGCCAUUAUUUAAUACAGCUGAUUCAGACCCCAUAACAUGAUAAAAACUUGAACAACAUCAUGUUAAAAGGAACAGAAUAAGCUACAGUAUUUGUUAAGCCACCUGAUUUGGAACCUCGUAGAUUGAAAAGAACAGGGCAGAAUCGAACAGCCACAAUGGGUUUGUUAGCACCUGGGAGUUGUACCGCAGGCCUACAAAAUUAGAAACUACUACAUUUCAAAUUAUCUAUUUUACAUACAUCCUAGGAAAAUCUGAAUUUCUAUGUAUACUUCUUAAAAAGUUAAUUCUCAUGUAUGUAUUAUUGUACGUAAAAAAAAUUAUCCAUUUUCAAAGAACUUUUUCUAAUACAAAACCAACAAACAUACAUGAAUUGGAUGGUGCCCUAACUUAUAGGUAUUUUGCUAAAAAAUUGCAUAUUCCAGGUGCACAUAUAAAAAUUCAAAUUUGCAGGGGCGAAAUUUGCUAUGGCAGCUGGACUACAAGAAUGAGAUUGUGGUCUGUCCUAUAUGAGCUAACGCAUAAGGGCACAACUGGAGUUGAAAAUGCAGUGUAGUUCCAUUUACAAAGUGACCAACUAGAAUUGGAUUUACCGAUAGCAAUAUGUACAAGUGGUGUAAAGCAAGUGCAAUUGGGAUUUGAGAACUUGAAAAGUCCAAAUUCUUGCAUCCCCUUUGAAACAGGAUUUCCUCAUUCAUAGAAAUACUGAAACAUAUAGAACAUAGUUCUUCCAAGUAAUAUGGCGAGUAGAUUAAGAUGAACUUAGUUAUAUCUAAAAAUGUGCUAGUAUUGUUACCUUGAAAGAUCUCUCCUAGACAGUAUAUAAGCAGUGUUAAAUGCUUCCGAUGCAGAAGAACAUUUGUAUAUACCUGAAAAUUUUAUUUAGACAGAAUUUACAUCAGUGAAUAGGAUCAACAAAGGCAAAGAAUAGUGGUUCAAGUUGUGCAAUUGUUCAUUAAAAAGAAAAAAGGAGAAAAAGUAUGAAGGCUUUAUAAUGUUUCCCUUGCUCACCAAUCAUUCCAUCUAGAACUUGCAAAAUGCAAAUGAAAGUUAAUAUGUAACAAUUAAGCUGAAUCAAAUUAUCAAAUUAACAAAGGUUAGGUUAACUUGCUUGCUAGAGUAGAAGCCAGACAACGUACCAGUUGAACAGUCACUAAUGUGCAAUAUAUAACAGAAUGCAUAACAUCGAGGUAUACUCAAAUGUAUGAAUGAUCAAAGAGAAGCAAUUUUCAAACUCAUUAAAGGACAAAAUAUAUUGAUGAUAUGAUAAAAAUAUCGAAAAAUAUGUGCUAGUAAAACAAGUUUACACCUGUACCUGCCGGGACUACCAAAAAUGAUCCAUCAGGCGACCAUGCCAAUCGCCGGAAGAAGGAAGGCAAUGUUUCAUCAUGAAACAAAUGAGUUUUAGGUGGCAGAUGCUGAAAUAAAGAAGUUGCACAAAACAUUAUUCUUAAAUAUAUGACCAAAAAAUGCAACUAAUGACAUAGAUUGCAAACCUUUGAAUCAUCAAUAUUUUGGGGCUCAAACUUUGUCAGUGUAUAUUGGCACAUGAAGUUGAUUUUCUCAAAGCCUUUUGAUUUGGCUUGAGGCUUAUUUGCAUAUACCCGUAAAGUCCUAUCUGAGCUAAGUGAAGCAACAUACUGAUCCAAAGGAUCCCAGGCAACACCCUGAACAUAAUGCAAAUGGGCAUCUAAAAUUUGAUGGACUGAACCUGAAACAAAUUAUCCAUAAAUAAUAUGUUGUCAGGCAUUCCAUAAUCCAAACAGGAAAAAUAUAAUGGGGUCUUUUAGUUUGUUCCUGCAAAAGCAUCUAUUUACACAUAUACCCCUGAAAAACCUGGUUUCUAUAUAUACUCCUUCAAAGUGCAGUUUUCUACAAAGAUGCCCUUAUCUAAUUCAUGGGUGGAAGUUGGUUUUCUAUUGAGUACAAAGGGUAUAUAUCUAUGAAAUUACGUUUUUGAAGAGCAUAAUGCAAAUUCAGGUUCUGUAUGGAUAUGUGUGUAAGUAGAUACUUCAACAGGAGGACAUAAAUAUCCCAACAAAAUUUGCCUAUCAUUGAUACCUUUAUUAACAUCCCAUAUUAUGCAAGAGUUAUCAACUGAACCAGAAAUGAGGUAAGCAGCAUCAGCAGACCACUGAAGGUCAAGAACAUCCUUCCGAUGAAAUCUGAUAAAAGACAAAACAAGAAGAGUACAAUAACUCUUGCAAGAAAACAGUAUUUCCAUAGAUAAUUUUCACAUGGAGGAUCUUACAAUAAUGACUUGAGUACUUUCCAUGUAUGGCCAUCAUCUGUUGAAUGUAGUUUCCAGAGGACUAAUUCACCUCCUAAAAAAUUGAGGAAGAAACAGAAGCAUAACAAUUUAUAUUCUCCGACAAGAUGCUAAUUCUACAUAAAGCAUUAACUUAUUUUCAAAAAACAAAUAAUAAAAUGAUAAUAUGAUAAUAAAAUGAACCAAAACAUACCAUCGGCACCAGAUGCAAGGUAUUCUCCUGUAAAAAGAAAAAGGAAAUAGAAAGAGAUAGUCACUCUUCUGGCUAGACAUCUAAAGGAAAGGAAUCAAGAGAUUAGUUCAAAGCCUUAACAGAUAAUGAGACCGAGGAGAGGCGAUAAUAUAAUGCCAACACAGAUAAAGGGAGGGGAAAAAAGAAUAGCUAAUAUGUUUGUUUCUUCCACAAUGUACUCUUUAUUCAAAGCAAUUCGGGGUGCUGUUUCUUGUUUUAAAUAGGAUUCAGUAGAAGACCAGAUUUUGCCAAAUACUGAAGGCCCAAAAUUAAACAAUUAUGUGUGUGAAUUUUACUAUCUAAGAUUAUAUCUAAUAAUAGUAACUCUGUCUGCUUUGACAUAGUAAUUACUAAGUCGUUAAGAUGAAGCAAACAAUACAAAGGCAGUUAUGAAAGAUAUCACAACCCUCUUCAGUCUUGGUAUUUUCUCAUAAUAGUGUUUUCUACAACUAAACUCUUUCUCUAUUCGCUUAUUAUAUUAUGUUAUACACUUGACCAUAGCUAUAUAUGCACUUUAUUCACACAAUAGAUUCCAUAGCACUAUGAUAUGAAAGAAGCCACUAUCACAAUGCCACCAUAUAAAUUCUUUUCCUAACAUUAUCAAUUUUGUGCAGUAACAAACUGUUAGGAGCCGAAUUCCCUGGUCUUUGACUCGGUUAAAGACCUCUCUUGGGAAAAGUGUAGGGAUGCGGAACGGCUCCGAAUAAUGACCCUCGAAAUCUGCGCCCUUCGACUGGAUCAAACGAUUCGGCUGAUGAGGGAUCAUAUCAGCCAAGUUCGAAGACCUUUACUAUAGACUCGGUUCGACUGAAAGAGCCGAAUGUACAGAAAACAUAGGGUUUUGGGUCGGCUGAGGAGCGGAAUGCCUUUAUAUAUUGGAAUUAAUCUGUGAAACUAAUACAAAGGAUGAGUGUGCCUGGAGGCAUACAGACUCGGUUGAUCUAACUUAAAGUUACUCCUAGGAAAAACAGUAAAUGUGAGAAAGUAAAAGAUUACAAAUAGACUAGUUCUAGAAAAUGCGAGGACAAUGCAGAGGAAAUAAAGGUGGUCUUCUAUUCUCGGGAAAAAGACUUCUUUUCUGGGCAUUAUUUGCCUAUUUAUAGCCCGCCUCUGUUGGUCAGUUAUUGCCCCAUCCAUGAUCGGCCACUACCCUAUUUUUACGGGCUACUUCAAGCUGAUCAAAUCCGUACGUAACCACUUGCAGUUACUGUAACUUCUUGCAAUUACACCUGGCGGUUACUUAAUUUUAUUGUCAAUGCUCCCGGUGCACACCAAAAUCUACUUUAAUCCUCGCUCCUAAAGAUUUUGGGGUUGAAUGGUGCACCAGCAUACCACGUGGCCGCGCAUUAUUGGCCUAACACAAACAAAGCACCUUUGCCAAGAAAAUGCAUCAAAGCUAGCAGGAUGAAUCAUGCCUGAGAGUGUCAUGAAGAUCUGAGCAGUAUAGUAGAUAUUCUCAGGUUAGUUAAAUUUACUGAUAAGACUGAUAUCUUCAUCCACAAUACUAAAAAUGAAUUUUUGCAGAUCGCAAUCACUAGUCAGAAUAUUUCUUCCCCUUCAAUCUCAUUCCACUUUACAGAGUGGACGAUAAUAGCAUAUAUUGCAAACCAAACAAGACUGAUAGAUCAUCAGCACAUGGUAUGCUCCAUUUUGUAGGAAGAGUGCACUUAGUUUUACUAUCCAAGUUGAAUAUUAACCCCGAUAAAUGGGCCAAUUACAAAAGGGUCAUUCAUAGUCAACAGGACUCUACGGAAAUACCAAUCAGACUGGAGAUUAAUAGUUAUGUUAUGUAGAAAUGGGGGGAAAAAAAUGUUUUAAAAAUGUAUUUGCCAGAAAAUAUCAUUUCUUUUAUAGUUGAUCCUUUGGAGAGAAAACUCAAACUCUGAUAAAAGUUGAUAUGAUUUGGUACAUGCUCUCACCAGAUGGGGAGAAUCGGAGUGCAUUUACAGCAGAAGUAUGGUAUGAAAGGCUGUUUUGAUAGGAAGCUGUUGGAAGUUUCUUCUCUGAUUCUUCUGAAGCUAUAGACCAUAUCUGCAGACAAAGCGAAGAUAGACCACUAAUUAAUUAUAUAAGGAAAAAACACAAUAACAUCAUACUGUAGAGUCUUCAGAUAAUCUUAGAAAAAUAAUGAUAGGGAGGAUUAACAAAAGUUGGCAGAAUAUUUAGCAUGAAAGAUAAGCUAAUGUGAGCUAGGAUGGGGUGCUAUUAAUAGCACUGAGCCUUUUGUGCUGUAGAGUCAUUUUCAAUGCUAGGGCAUUCGUUUUGACGAUCAAUGCCGUUAAACAUGAUAGCGUGUUUGAACUUCAUAGAUUCUGAAUUUUUUUUGUAACUUUUCAACACCAUUUACUAAGUAAUCAAGCGGUCACAAAAGUGACAAUUUAAUGGCUUUUAUGAGCUGCUUUCUAGUUUAGCUAUAUAGAAACAAUCCACAUUGGUUGAAUUUUUUAGAGAAAUUUUUUUUUCUUUAGGAUAAGAUUUAAAACUUCAAUCUUGAAUUUGAAAUUUCGAUCCCCUAUUUCAGAAGGUUGUUCAGUUUUGACCCUUCAUUUUCUAGCAAGUUGAUGAACUAGAAAAUGAUUUUCAAAAAUCACGAAAUUUGGAUCCCAGAAUGUGCAAAUAUCGUAAAUCAUUUUUAACGCUAUUGAUUGUCAAACUGGAUGACCCAUCAUCGAAAACCAGUCUAUAGCACGAAGGCUUGGUGCUUUUAAUACCACAGUAGCUCAACUAUGCUAGUAGAUCCUAAUAAGAAGCACAAUUCUGCUAAUUCUUUGUGACGGCCCAUUAGUCCCACAUCGAAUAAUAUGGGAGAAUAUGGAGGGUAUAUGACGAGCAUACUAGAACUAAUAACUGAGCUUUAGCAUUUUUCGCUGGUGGUUGAUGGUUUGGGCCCAACAAGUUAUUAAUGUUAGUGGGCCAGAUCGUUACAUUAUCUACAUUUUCAGAAGACAUUUGCUAUAACACAUCACGUUAACAUUUUUAUUAUUGAACCACUAAUACUCCACAAUUUGAGUAGACCCAUUUGCUACAAAACAUAGAAAUAGCAUCUUUAUUAUAGAACUACUAAUACUCCACAAUUUGAGUAGACCCAUUUGCUACAACACAUAAAAAUAGCCUCUUUAUUAUAGAACUACUAAUACUCCACAACUUGAAAAAAAUGCAUUUGCUGGAACACAUCAAACUAGCAUCUUUAUCAUAGAACUACUAAUACUCCACAAUUUAAGAAGAUUUUUUUGUUGUAACACAUCAAAAUAGCAUCUUUAUCACAAAACUACUGAUACUGCACAAUUUGAGAAGACCAUUUGCUAUAACACAUCAAAAACGGCAUCUUUAUCACAAACUACUAAUACUCCACAAUUUGACAAGACCCAUUUGCGACAACACAUCAAAAUCGCAUCAUUAUCACAGAAUCAAAACAACGGGAGGCGAAAUCAAAGAGGCGAAAGGUAAACUCCCACCUUGAUAUCGUGAUCGCUUCCCCCGGUGGCGAGAACCCGAGACUUCGGGUGGAAAUCUAGGGUUAGGACCGGGUGGGCGUCGUGCCAAUUGAUCUGAACCGUCCCUCCCUUCAUCCUCCGCCGCUACCUAGAUCCCUCUAGGGUUUCUUCCACCUUCGCCUCGAGCUCUCGUCCGAUCGGAGCUUAGACGAGGAGCUAGGGUUUGGGUAGCUUUGGGGAUUUUGGGCAGCGGGAGGGAGAUUUUGGCGCCCUUUUCCUGGGAUUGGAGGCGGGAAGGAGAGAAAGGGUGACAAGCGAACCGGCAGUGAGAAUAAAUAGUGAGAGUUCUCAGUCACGUGAUGCUCACGAGGAGACGCCCAGUGGUAUAAAUUGCACCACGGUCCCUAACCUUUUACCUUUCUCACCUUGGAUCCUAAUUUUUUUUUCUUUUCUAGUAGGACACUCGUCUUGACACCAAUCUUGAAAUUGGUGGAUACUUUGUAAAUAUUAGUUUUGAAAUAAAUGUGCCACUUAGUUUUGCUAUAAAUUGUCUUUUUGUUUUGUUAAAAUGAAUUAUUAUAGUAUAAAAUAGUGUGUGUAUUUUAGUAUUUCUAGAAGUGUCUUUUAAAUUUUCUUUGAAAAUUAUAAGUAGGGCUGGCAAAUGAGCGAGCCGGCUCACGUUGGACUCAUGUUCGACUCGAUAUUUGGCUCGCUUGAGCUCGACUCGAAAUUAAAUGAGCCGAGUUUAAACAAAAAAAAAGGCUCGAAAUUUAUUUCAAGCCGAGCUUGAGCAUUAUUCGGCUCGUUCGAAUUAGACUCGAAAAGCUCGAAAAGCUCGAAUAUAUAUAUAUAUAUAUAGUAGAACUACUGUGCUAUCGAAAGUAUAGAAGAUCUGGUACUUUCGAUUUUUUGAUUCUUAGAUCAACCCCUUUAAUCAUUUCUUAUCUUUGGAUUAAUACUAUUAUUACAUUGUAGGAACCACUCAAUCCUAGGGGUAUUAUUUAAUCCUAGGGGGGACCGCAAUCAUCUCAACCAUAUAAUUUUGCAUAUAAUUCUUAAUCAAAAGGUCAAAAAUUCGAAAACAUCAAAUUCUCUAUAUUUUUUAUAGCAUAGUAGUUCUACACUAUAUAUAUAUAUAUAUAUAUAUAUAUAUAUAUAUAUAUAUAUAUAUUUUAAUUAUAUAUAGGCUGANGACUAAAUAAUCUCAGUUUAGUUAAAAUUGGGCAAAUAUUGUUGGCCCAUAAAAACAAAUCCAAUAAACAAAUAAAAGAGCAAAAUUUUACUAAAUUUAUACAUUUUUCCUUUCUUUCUUCAGAGCUCUAAAUUUUCAAUAUGUUUCUCUCUUUUUCUUUUUCUGUCUCUCACCCUAAGUAGCCAAGCCGGAGGCCCUCCAAGUUACCAAGUAACAGCAUAUGCCCGUCAUUGCCUACCUUUCUAUUAAUUGUAUGCUUGAGAAAAUAUACAUAAUAUUUUUAAAAUAAAAAAUUAUUAUUCAUAUAAAAUUUUAAUUUUAGUUAUAUAUGAUUGGAUAGUUUAAUCCAAUAUUUAUCUAUAUAAUUUAUUUAUUUUUGACCGCAUAAAUGAAAAUGAAUAAUAUGGAGAUUGAAGGUGGAAGAUAAGACAUGUGAGGCUGAAAAGAUUAGAUAUUCAAGUCAUAAAUUAUCUUUCUUCAUAUUAUAAUACUAUAUUUUAUAUAAUUAUUUUGUACUUUGAACUAUUAGAUAUAUUUUUGUAUCAAAUUAUAGAUAAUUUUCUAUACAAAUUAAACUAUUGAUUGUAUGAUGUUGGGAAUUUCAAGCGGCUCGUUUAGGGCUCGAGCUCGCUCGACUCGAAAUUAGGCUCGCUCGAGCUCGGCUCGAAUUAAUUUCAAUCCAAGCUUGAGCUUAAAUUUAGGCUCGAAAUUAAUUUCAAGCCGAAUUUGAGCCGAGGUAAGCUCGCUCAAGCUCGGCUCGUUUCCACCCCUAAUUAUAAGUGAAUUAAUGCGUAUGAAAGUUGAAAGGUGCUUUGUAAGUUUAAAUAUAUAUAUAUAUAUAUAUAUAUAUAUAUAUAUAUAUAUAUAUAUAACAAUUUUAAGAUGAUAAAUAAGUCAAUUUGAGUUGAAGUUUCUAUUUUUAUUGGAGAAGAGGGAUUUCUUCUUGCUUAUAUUUCUUAAGUGAAUUUCCUGUGAGAUAAGAGUGUUAUUCAACUAUUAUGUUGGUGGAUUCUGCAUAAUGGUGAGUGUGCUUUAAUUUGACGUGGUGGAUUCUAUGGUGGGUCGAGUGUUUAUUGAGUCGUAUUUGUUCUAUUUUCGCAUCCCCUCUAAGUUCCGACGCCAUAUCUUUAUAUUUUAUUAUUAUUAGAUAUCAUUAAUUUUGACAUAAUAAGUCACGUAAAUUUUAAAAAUCUCAAUUAUAGUCUGAUAGGCUUCGAUCAAUUUUAUCAUAAACUUAUUCAAAAUUCUAAAAUAGAUUAGUGGCUUACUCAGUUUGAUUCUAUAAGCUCGAAUACUUUAAAAGACAUAGUUUUCGAUCGAUUUUGUGUGUGAGGUUGAGGUGGUCGUUGGUGCAGAGAAUGACAUUGGAGAUGGUGAGAAUGAGCUCGUAGCGAUGGGCACACAAUUAUGAGAAGAGACUAAGAAUUUAAAAAAAAAAGUUAAAAUUAACAAAAUAUUCCUAUCAAUAUCCGUUUUUUCAUGUUUUCCUCAUGUCAUUAAAAAACAUACAGUUUAAAAAAUAUUUAGAGGGAGAUACGGUGUGACAAAAUAACCAAAUUGUCUUCAUAUUUUUCAUCUCCUCUCCCAUCCUCCCCCCAUUCUUGCUCAUCCCGGCGGCGAAGGAGGGUGAGGGCGUGUGUCUGGGCAUGGAUCGAGAGGUGGGCGAGAGCGAGGCGGCGGCCGAGGGCAUGGAUGAGGGUGUCAGAAAUAUUUUGGGUGUAAAAAAUAAGAUAUAAACGGAACCCUAACGAAAUGCUGACGGCGGGAGCUGAAAUGAACAUUUUUUAUUUUUCAAAUGAGUAAAGUGUAGAUUUUUAAAUAACAGAAGGAAAAGUUAAAAAGCGGACACAAAUUUUAUGUAAUUUAGUAAAAAAAUAAGUAAAGAAUAGAAACUAAUGGUGCAAAAACCUAGACGAUAAGAAUAUGAUUGUGAAGAAAAAAGGAAAAAGAUUGGAAAGAGUAGAUGGGAUUAGACCAAUGUCUUCAUCUAUUAAACUAUUUUUUAUUUUUUUAAAUUCUUUCAGACUUUAAGCAUCCCACCCCACUACUCUAACCAAACAAAAUACUAUUUUACCUACUAUCCUUCUUAUCCCAUCUACUCCAACCAAACACUAUUUUAUCAAUACCUGGACUAAACCCAAUUCUCAACCAAAUACAAAAUUAGUCUAACUCCAUCUUAACCCUGAACUUAAGCUUAUCUUUAAAAUAAUUAAUUUUUACUUAAUUCCGAACCAAGCGGUUAGAAAACAAUUGUAUCUUAUAACUUAGCAAAUAGAAAACCCUUGUUUGGGCAUCAUUUGAGAGGCUUUCACAAACCCGAUCCACUUUCCGUGAAACAUAAAUUAUGGUGGAAAACUACAUGUUUUGAAAUGUGCUACAGGUGAGGGGCUCACCAUAAAUUUUCCACCUCUCCCUGUUGCCCACGAGGAAUUCUACACUGUCAUACUUGCACCAUAUCAUCAAUAACAAGCCAAUUAUAUCCCUUUUUUUCAAACAAAAGUAGAAUAAAAAUAUUUUUUUACAAUCAUUACGGGACAUAUAUCUCUAAAAGUAAAAAUUUGAUUGAUUUGUGACGCCACGUCACCAAUGGACCCGGUGCAUUCUAGAAUUUUUCGUUGCCCAACCAAAAAGCUCCCCGUCGAUUAAUUCUCCGUAGAACCGCUUUAUUUAUAUUUUAUACUCCGGUGGAUCGUUCGAUUCUUCUUCUUCUUCUUCAGCUUCCCACACUCCACCGUCUCCUUCUCCGGCCCCAACCCCUUCCCAUCAAUGCGGAGCCGGAGCCCCUUCUCCUCCUCGUCCCCCACCUCCGCCGCCGCCGACGAGAGCCACCACCCCCACCACCCCGCGCCGCCGCCGCCGCCGCCGUGCACCCGCCUCCACCAGAUCGGCGCCGUCGCCCUCGUCGUCGCCACCUUCCUCCUCACCCGCUCCCUCGAUCGCCUCUCCUCCUCCCCCCUCCUCCCCGCGCCACAAACCACCGCCACCGCCUCCUCCUCCUCCUCCGACGCGCUCUUCGACGGCGCCGGCGCCCUCGCGUGGCCCCAGCGCGGCUACGGGCCCCGCCUCGACCUCCGGAUCUACGUCUACGACGAGGCCGAGAUCGACGGCCUCCGCGAGCUCAUGCGCGGCAGGGACGGCCGGAUCUCGCCCGAUUCCUGCGUCAAGGGCCAGUGGGGCACGCAGGUGUAAUUCUUGGAUCUUCUCCCUCGUUAAAAAUCUAUAGGAUGCCCCUUCUCUUGAUUCAGAUGUUGCUUUAGAUCGUUUGUUCACUUCAUAUUAACUGAGUAAUGCAUAGUUACUGAAUAAUGCUUGUUACUGGUGAAUCACUCGAACUCUUAUUGUAAGAUGCUACAGAAAAUCAGUUGUUUCACAUGGUAUAGUUCUUAGAACUCUAUCAAAUAAAGAUCUAUAGAAUGUUGCUUCUCUUUUGUUUGGAUGUUGCUCGGCUACUGGUUAGAUAGUGUAAGGAAUUAGGGCUUUUGGUGGGAAAUUACUUGAAUUAUUAUCAGUUAGGUUUUAGGGCUGCUUGAUGUCCGGUAUAAAUAUCGUGUGACAUGCUGAUGCGGAAACUUUCAUGUAUUUCCGCUUAUUUUGGUAAUUUUCCUUGUCAGAAUGUUCAAAUUGUGAUGCUUCUCAAAUAAUGCUUAAUAAUAUGCUUGCUGCAUUGCUUCAGUUCUCAAUAUUUGUCAACUUUUGUAUUAUGCUAAGGGUUUGGAAGAGUUUUGCAAUCAUUUUAGUUGCAUUUCUUCAACGCUGCUCGUAUUUUUCCAUUGAAGGGUCAACCGCUUCUGCUCUGUUUCUUAGCCUUUCCCCUUUUGUGUGUUUCUUUUAGGUCAAAAUUCAUCAGCUAUUUCUCAAAUCAAGGUUUCGGACGUUAAGUAAGGAUGAGGCAGAUUUCUUCUUUGUUCCAGCUUAUGUUAAAUGUGUUCGGAUGAUGGGUGGAUUAAAUGAUAAAGAGAUCAAUCAGACGUAUGUGAAGGUAAAUUUAUAAUGUUGCUAUCUUCAUCUGAAUUUUCAAUGCUUAGUAUCAAAUUAAAUGCCGAUAGGGUGCUUAGCAUUCUACAAAUUGUGAGAUACUUCUCUAUUUGAUGUGUGAUGUUUGGGUCAUGUUUCUGUUGCUUCGUGUAGAAAUAAGUGGGGCUUCCUUAUAUCUUAUGGCUUACUUCAUUACAUUGUUUUAAUUGGAGUAGCUUCUAAAGAAUGCCAUAUUGAACCUGCUUAUAGUUUUCCUGUGGAAUUUAGGUUCUAAGUCAGAUGCCAUAUUUCCGUUAUUCAGGAGGACGUGACCACAUUUUUGUCUUCCCUAGGUAUCAUCUUAUCCACUUGUGACACGAUCAUUCAUUGUUAUGUCCUCUCCACAUAUAACUUGCAUGUUCUCGUGGUCACUAUCUCAUGUAUUUCGCAUGUGCCGAAUAUUCAUUUUUUAGUUAUGUAAUCAUACCUUUUCUUAUGAAAUGCAGUGGUGCUGGCGCUACGUUAUUUCGGUCCUGGGCAACAUUUUUAAAUCGUUCUAUCAUUCUUACUCCGGAGGUAUCACAUCAAUUCAACACUCUAUCAUUCUUACUGAUCUUUGUGUCCACGAGUUGUUUGCACGUACGCAUCCCAGCAUUUGUUGGACUAUUUUCUCAGUGUAGAAACUAGUAAUUGAAGAAAGAUCAUGGGGAUUUAUGUAAUGCAACAUAUAGGUCGUUUGAUGCCAAAGUGAGCUUUCUUCAUAAAUCGAGCAGAAUUAUGAAUUGAAAUGGUCUGAGAAUACAUGAUGACCUUGGUAGUAAUAAAGAGGAAAAGCUUAAAUAGAACUAAAUGGUGGGAAACUACACAGAUUGCUUAGAUUCUUGUCGCACCAUACUAGGACUCAUGGUUUGAAUAGGCGUGCUUAGGCACUUAGGCUUAAGGCCGCAGGCACCUUGGCACUUAGUUUCAAGGCACCAAGUUUGCACCUUGGGGCUUAAAAAUGCGCCUUGACCUAGGUGUGGGCCUUGGCCUAGGCACAAAGUCCCAAUUAGUGCCAUCCAGCUAAGUUACAAGUUUCAAGUGUCGAAUGUGGAUUUUGGAUGUCUAUCUACAAGAGUGUAGAGACCCCAAAUGCAGGUCUUGAACGUGUAGGUACAUAGUUAAGCUAGAGGCUUGAUGAUUUGUGAUUUUUUGCAUUCUUAAUGUACCAAUAUGCAUCAACUGAGUGAUGAUUUUUUUUUAUGGGAAUUUAGUUUUGGUACUCUGUUAUUUUUUUGAAUCCUAACUUGCAAUUUCUUUUUGUGAUAUUAAUAUAGCCUUUUGAUGAGUUUUUAUAUUUAUUUUUUAAUGUCUUCCUCAAGUGCAUGCCUUGCGACUUCCGUGUUGAGUUUUGCCUAGGCUUUAAGAGCCCUUGCAUCUCGAUGCGCCAUGUGCCUAUUAAAACUAUGCUAAGACUACAAUGUGAUAUUUCUUAUUCUAUGAUUUUAUGCCUUCAUCAUAUUUGUAUAUUAUAUAGCAUGUUAUGCUUGUAGUUAAUAUAAACAUUGAUUUAUCACCACAUGGAGAUGGCUGCCAUCAGACAUCCUGAAUGUGUUUGUAUUCAGAUAUUACUUGUAAGAACUAUGACCAUAACUAGAGUUCAUGCAAUUUUUUGUGUUUCAAAAAAAGUUAAUGUAUACCGCAUGAUUUUCAUUCUCUCCAUUAUUUAAUUCAUAUUAUUUAACCUUUUCUUUUAUUUGCAUAUAUUGGCCAUGAUAUUUCACAUUGUGUGAAGCUCUGCCUGUUAUAUAUCCCAGGCAAUGAUUUUGACAUUUCUUGAGUUAUCUGGUGUUUUUUUUUAGGGUGACCGGACAGAUAAAAGAGAUAUGAGUGCUUUUAACACAUGGAAGGAUAUUAUUAUCCCAGGUAAUGUUGAUGAUGGGAUGACAAAGUUUAAUGGGCCGUGCUUGGUCGAACCAAUCCCUUUAUCAGAAAGAAAGCACUUGGCAAACUUUCUUGGACGUGCACAGGGUAAGGCUGGUCGUCUCCAGUUGGUGGAGCUUGCCAAGCAGUAUCCUGACAAGGUUAGGCUUUAUUACCAUAUUUUCUUUUUUAUUUUAAGAUGAAAAUAAAAGUUGUAAAGUUAUUUCAGAAGUUCUUUCAUAUAAUUGUUUGAAGUGGUUUUGUAACGCUCAAUUUGCUUGUGAUACUGUUUUAUAUUGUUUUACUUCCGUUCCUUCAGACCGUAUGCAAUAUUGAUUUUAAAUACAGUUGGAAUCUCCAGAAUUGAAGUUUAGUGGCCCUGACAAAUUGGGGAGGAUUGACUACUUCAAUCACUUGAGGAAUGCAAAGUUUUGCCUAGCUCCACGUGGCGAGUCAUCGUGGACUCUUCGCUUUUAUGAAGCUUAUUUUGUGGUCUCUCUCUCUCUCUCUCUCUCUCUCUCUCUCUCUCUCUCUCUCAACCUAGCCAUUUCAGAGAAUUCACUUUCAUUUGUAUUUGUGCUGUAUAAAAUAGCUAUUUUGUGAGAGAAUUUAAUUUAUUUUUCUGAUUUUGCAAGAUUGUUCCACUUUUUUUGUUCUUGCAACUUUUUUUUUAAUGGACCAAUACACCUCUGACGGAAAACCUCUCAUUUAUCUGUCAGAAGGAAGGUUCAGAGUAUUUUAGUCAAUAAAGAAAGAUUUAGGUUCAAAAUUCCAGAAAUAAAAUAAGUGGAUUAAAGUUGCAAAAUCGAAAAAAUCUUGGAUUUUUUUUGCAUAAAAACCUAUUUUAUUUCUAGAAGCUACUAAAUUUGCAUUUUGAGCUCAAAACAACCUCCUAAUCAACCAUAGAUUUCUGCCAUGUGGAUGACAGGAAUGCGUGCCGGUCAUUCUGUCGGAUCAAGUUGAACUACCUUUCCAGAAUGUGAUCGACUACAGCCGAAUGACAAUUAAGUGGCCAUCAACUCGAAUAGGCCCCCAACUUCUCGAAUACCUCGAGUCAAUACCUGGUGAGUCUUCUCAUGUUUCCACCUAGGGAAUAUUUAGCCUGCUAGAGCAUGUGCAUAAGAGCUAUUUGAGUAAAACUGUUAAAGAAGUACCAAUAACUUCUAAUUGAAUCUCCUCAAGAAGUUCUUUAUGCAAUAGAAGCAAAAGUUUCAAUCCGAAGCUUUUGCUUUCGGAGCCUAAAAGCUCGUUUUAGCAUCCUGCAACUAUAGAAUCUCCAGACUUUAGCCAAGAGGCUUUGUGUUUCACCCAACUUAGCUUGCAUGUUUUAGAGUAGAGAAGCUUUUAUAGCAGCUAAGCCAUAAUGGGUUCAUGACUCCACUCUCUCUCUCUCUCUCUCUCUCCUGAUACCAUAAUUUUUACCAUGUCAGAUGAAGAAAUAGAGAAGAUGAUAGCUCGGGGCAGAGAGGUGAGAUGCUUAUGGGUUUACGCCCCAGAAACUGAGCCGUGCUCGGCUAUGGUAGGAAUACUGUGGGAACUGCAGAGAAAAGUCAGGAGAUUCCAUCAAUCCUCUGAAACAUUCUGGCUUCACAAUGGAUCGAUUAUCAACAGAGAUUUGGUCGAGUUUCACAAUUGGAGAACACCUGUGCCUUUGCCCUGAUAAAUUUUUUUACAGAGCUGUAGAUUCUCUUGGAUUAGAUAGAUUUCUCUUUGUUACCCUUUUUUGAAUGAUAUUUUUGUGCUUAAAAAGCUGUAUCUGUCCACAGCCUUCUUCUUUUUCAAAGCCCUGGCAUUUCUUUCUGAGGAUUUGGUUUAAUUAGCCUGCUGAGUUCAGAAUCUCCUUCUUGAAACAUGUUUCAAUCAGAGAAAAGAUAGAGCGCUUGGUGAUAGUUGUCGUGCUAGUACUGUAAUUUCUUCUUUUUUAAAAAAAUUUGAAAGAUUAUUAUAAAAUCUUAGCAAGUUUUGCCUCCUCUAGCUUAAGGUGAUGAAAUCGCUGAUGGAGCUACUCCGGAAAGAGUGCUUUCGUAUAUGAGUACUGUAACUUGUUUCCAUUUUUUUCAUCAGCCCAUGUCUCGCCGGCACUGUGCUUCUGGUUUUGUUUUUUUCAAUGCUUCAAUGUGUGUGUCUGUUUUCAUGUGGGCUCAUUUUCAUUGUAUGUUGUUGCUUUACAAUGCUUUUGUUAGUUUAUUAGUCUUGAUGCAUGCAGAAAGUAUCUUGCGAGUAAGAAUUUUAAGUGUCGUGAUACGGGAUCGUGCUAGAAGCUUAUCGAUAUUGUACGGCACGGUGUGUGCUAGUUAUGAAAAAUACAUGUGUGCCGACACAUAAUGGUAUAAGAGAUUUAUUUUAAGUAGUAAUAAAAUAUGUCAAUUAUUUAUUAUAUAUUUUUAUUAACUUUUUGAAUUUUAUUGAGAAAAUUAUUUAUUUAUUUAUAAAAUAAAGGAUUUUGAGUUGUGUCAUCGGCAUGUGAGUUAUAUUGUACUGAUAUCUGACAUGAUACGGUAAGAUGGAUGCGAUUCGUAACGAUAGAUAUUUAAAUCCUUACUUGCAAGUAUGCCUCCAGAUUUGUUCGUGCAAGUAAAAGUGAAGAUGUGCUCAUUUUUGAAAACGAGGAUUGAUCUACUCGUCGUCUUCCUUAAAUAGGAAGAAAAUGAAAUGCGAGGAAACUUAAAAAGAAAAAAAAUUGUAUUUAUCGGUUAAAAAAUGUUGGUGACGAUAGUUUAAAUUUUCAAAAACAUAGUUUAUCGUUUACGAGUCCAAAAAUAAAUAUCAACAGUAUUCCUGAGUCGAACGAGGGACUUAAUUUGAAAACAAAAGAAGAAUACUUGAGGCCUACGUUUUGAUAAAUUCUCGUUGCGUGUGAUGACGUGGCAAACCACUAAACCCAUCUCGACCAAUAGGAAUUCCCUUCAAGGGAAGUGGGCCCCACGGGUUCGUCAUCUUCAAUCCGCACCGUCCAUCGCCACUCCGUCAAAACACCUCCAAUCCCAACCGUCCAUUCUCUCUCCUCCCGUCCCCGACUCCCGAAUAAAACGCGAAACCCCCUCCAAACCCUCGUCUCUCUCCGCCCCCUCCUCCCCCACCUUUCUCUCUUUCUCUCUCUCUCUCGAUCAACAAUGGCGGAGGGAGCCGAAGCCGCGGCGGAGGCCAUCGCCUCUCUCUCCACCUCCGACGCCCCAAGCAAGAAGUAAACCCUCUGUUUCCUCUCUCUACUGCGCCUUAUCUCUCUCUCUCUCUCACACUCUCUCUCUAACGCACUUUCUCUCUCUUUUUCCCGUCGUUUCUAGCGCCCUCAAGAAGGAGCUGAAGAAGAAGCAGAAGGAGGAGGAGAAGAGGAAGAAGGAAGAGGAGAACAUGAAAAAGAAGGUCCCUUUCUAACCCUACGCAUCUUUUCUCCCCAUUAAAGAUGUCACCUUUUGCUGCUCAAUUUCGUGUGGAUUUGGACCGAAAUUCGUUGUAUCCUGUCUCUUCAGGCUGCCGAGGCGGCGAACCCGCAGUCUCAGAAGGCGUUGGCGGCCGCCGAUGACGAAGAUAUGGACCCUACGGUUUGUUCUUCGAACCUAUAUUCUGUAUAGGUGAAAUGGUAGAAACCUUAUUUGAACUAUAGCGCAUUUUGAGAUUGGUGUUUGAACAUUUAAGAACUUUUAUUUUACCAAAUGUCCCAACUUGUUAUUGACUUUUCUACUGAGUAUUCAGUUCAGGUAUCUAUUUCACAAAUCAUAUUAGCUUAUCUGUUAGAAGAAAACCUCUCAGUUAUAAUUGUGUUGGUGAUUUUGAUCCCUGAGGUAGUGCCAGGGAUAGCCAUGGGAAUAGCACAAUUCCACCAUGCGGCAUGGAAUUGAUAUCCCAAGGGAUAAACUUGCUAUUGGGUUAUCUCUCGCCAAACAAUUUAGUGUUUGGGGAUGCUAUCCCCGCCCUGUUCGCCAACCAAACACUUCCUUGAGGUUCAGGUACCCAUUUCAAAAAUGCUUUAUAUUUAAGGUAAGGUAUGUACGUGGGUAAAUUGAGAUGCAUAUAAUCUGUUUGAUAAAAUGCCUCUGAUUGUCAUUGGUGGUGGCAGCAAUACUAUAACAAUAGGCUCAAGGUGCUUAGUUCUUCGAAGGAGGUCGGUGUUAACCCGUACCCGCAUAAGUUUCAAGUGUCCAUGACAAUUGUGGAAUAUGUGGAGAAGUAUGGAAGUUUGAGUGAUGGGGAGCACCUUAAGGAAGUUGAAGUUAGUUUAGCAGGUAGAGAUGCAGUGUUUCAUGGAAUGUUUUCUCAAAUGAAGAUGGUGCUUCUUUGCAUGCUUUUCUUUUUACUGUUUUCGAUGGUAAAAUCUUUUUUUUUUUUUUUCAAAAUCUCUUGUAGGGAGGAUUAUGAACAAGAGAGCUUCUUCGUUAAAGCUUUUCUUUUAUGACUUACAUGGCAGCGGGGCUAAAGUUCAAGUGAUGGCAGAUGCCAGGUAUCAAUCACUUACUUGGGCCAUCUUUCUGUGGCAUCUUUUCUUGAUGAAUUUAUGAAAUGUUAUUCUCUUCAUUACAGCACUAGUAUUGUUAGAUCAGAGCUGUCCUUCUAAGGAUUGCAGUAGUUUGAAUUGAUUGGGCAGGCUUUCUCCUUUUACAAGCUGGUUUCAACACUUAUCAAAUGGCAAAACUUAUAACCUUUUGUAUUAAUACAAACCUUUUUAGCAUGUAUCAAUUUUUUAAAGAGGGUAGGGUGCAUACGUAAAACCAAAAGGUGAACAGAAUAAAUGUCAUAAUUGCUUCUAAUUCCUUGUCAAAUGAUAUCAAGAAAGCAAUCUACUGGACAAUAUUAUUAUUUGUUUUAUAAAAUAUUUUACUUGGUAUCUUUUCAAAAUUUUUAUUAGGGACUCUGACAUGGAUGAAAAUGAAUUCUCCAAAUACCAUGCUGGUGUCAAACGUGGUGAUAUUGUUGGCAUCACUGGCUAUCCAGGUUAGUUAAUUAGCGUCAACAUUCUUGCAGUAAUUUUAAGCUUCUUUUCUCGAUUGACAUUUUACCCCUUCAUACUUCACUGAUGGUGUCAUCUAAUCAGUCUGCUUGUUAGUCUGUUUUUGUUAUUAUGAGAACAUAACAUCUUGAUCUGUCCUUGUGAUUUGUCAUGCUGAAGUAAAGAGGCAUAAAUUUGUCCAGUGAGACAGUAGAAUAAAAUGUUUCUGGGUUGACAAAAUUUAUUUAUAUCUGAUUCAGGAUGCUUUAAGUAGUAAUUCAUGUUUGCAGGUGCAUUAUUGUUAAGUUGCUGUUUCUGUGCUACAGGUAAGAGUAAGAGAGGAGAACUCAGUAUUUUCCCCAAGAAGUUUAUUGUCUUAUCGCCUUGUCUUCACAUGAUGCCAAGGCAAAAGGCUGGCCCUAGUGUUGCUAAUGCUUCCGCAAAGGUGAGCAUAUGAGCAAAGAAAUAAAAUCACGUUGUGGCUUUGAUCCAUGCUGAAAAUAGUUGAUCUCCUGCUCUUAUUUCCUUAAAUUGCACUUUGACCGCAGAAAAAUGAAGAAAGACCAACACCUUAUGUGUGGGUUCCAGGAAUGACUAGGAAUCCUGAGACAUAUGUUUUAAAAGAUCAGGUAUAUGACUCAACUUUAUGAGUACAAUUACAAACUGAAAUGAGUAUAGUCUAUAUAGGUUUAAAUUAUUUAUAAUUUGAGUACAAAUGUUUAGAUUAUUCAUAAUUUUGUUUUUCAAAUGUUGGUUAAAUGUCACUCUCCUGUUGCUCUUGACUGCAGUAUUACUGUUUCUAAUUGCAUUGAACACUGGUGCUCUUACACUAUUCGACUGUAUUUCAUACCAAGUCUUCAUGUGUCCUAUAUGCUUGUCGAUGACUUUUCCUUCCUCUACUUCAAUUAUUACUUUGGGCUUCUACAUAUAUGGAUAAAAAUACUACAUCAACUUGAGAUUUUACUAGCUGAUCGAAAUACACAGCAAUAAAAAAGAAGUUAUAGUAACUGAGGAUUGAAUUGAAGCAUAGUUGGUGUUCAGCCGUAGAUUGCUACUGGUUCUAACUGACUUUGAUCCAUGGAUAAAACUUAAUUAUGGUUUUGAGUUUUGACUGUUCAACAAGCCUACCACUCUUUGUUCUUCAUAGGGAUUUUUUCUGAAAGAUUAAAAAAAAUGAUAUGAAUGUAUGUCAUUUUAUAAUUUCUUGUAACAAAUCUUUCUCUCUUCCUGUGGUACUUUUCUGAAUCACUUCAAACAAAAUAAUGUAUUGUAACUAGUUCUUGGUUUAUUGGCCUUUCUUGUAAAUUGGCUUGGUAGCUUAACCACUAGAUGAUCAAAUUGCUAUGUUGGAUGGCUUGUGGGUAAAUGUUGAUGGAGAUUUUACUUUUAGAUUGUUUUGUUUUAUAAUUUGAUCACACCAUUUUUACCUUUUUUAUGACAUUAUUUUAACUAUUGGCUGUUUAAUAUACUUUUUCUGUUGAUAUGCUUGUCAAUUGCUCAUUUCUUUGGUUAACUUCUAUUGGAACGUUCACCUUUUGUCAUGAUAGGAAACACGAUAUCGCCAGAGAUAUCUGGAUCUAAUGCUAAAUCAUGAAGUUAGGCAAAUAUUCAGGACUCGUGCAAGGAUCAUCUCUUAUAUCCGGAGUUUUCUCGACAAUCUUGGUUUCCUCGAGGUUGCUCCCUCUCUCCUGUCCCCUUAGAAGAAUAUUUGAUUUGGCUAAAUUGCAAAAACCCUCCUGUAAAUAGCAUCAUUUGCACUUUGCCCCUAAAAAUAUAAAAAGUAAUAUUUAACUUCCUGAUUUUUAGACCUUUAGCACUUAACCUGCGUCCUGUCACAUCUUUUGUUCAGGAUUUAUUAGGUAGUCUCAAAAUAUAAUCUAAAAGACCCAUUUCAUCCCUUUUUAUGGUGGAAAAUAUUAUGCUUAUGGACUUCUAAUACUUUCUGAGUGGAAAGAUGUGACAGUAAGGGUCUUAUAUGCUAAUAUUCUGAAAAUUAAGGGUUUCUUGCCUUCAUUUGUAUUGAUUUUCUUUACUAGUUUUAAAUGCAUUUUCUUCAUACUCAGGUGGAAACACCUAUGAUGAACAUGAUCGCUGGUGGGGCAGCUGCCAAGCCUUUUGUCACCCACCACAAUGAAUUGAACAUGAAAUUGUACAUGCGCAUUGCUCCCGAACUCUACCUCAAGGAGUUGGUUGUUGGUGGUCUAGAUCGUGUCUAUGAAAUCGGAAAGCAGUUCAGAAAUGAGGGGAUUGAUUUGACCCAUAAUCCCGAGUUCACCACAUGCGAAUUCUAUAUGGCUUUUGCAGAUUAUAAUGAUUUGAUGGCAGUCACAGAACAGAUGUUAGCCGGUGUGUAUAAGUCUGUGAAAUCACUAUAAUUACAGUUGUUCUUAAUGUUAGUUGAACUUUUGUAAUGUUUACAUAUAUGCCCCUAUAAAAACACCGAUUUAUACGUAUUCCUCUGCAAAAGAUGAUUUUUUAUGUAUAUUCUUCAAGAACUCACUUUCUUACAUACAUGCGUCGAACUUGUGGCAAUGCCUCCGCCAAAAAUCAUUUUAUAGUACAAAAUGACUUUCGACCCAUUAAUUGAAUGACUCUUGACUUAAAUUAUUGAUAUUUUUGUUAGAAGCUGCAGCAGUGAGGGGGCAUAUCAGAAAUUUGAUUUUACAGGGAUAUAGGAAUAGAUGAUUUUGCAGGGGUAUAUAUAUGUAAUUGCCCUUGAUUAGGGUUUUCUUUGCUGAAACAAUGAACAGGAAUGGUGAAGGAACUAACAGGUGGUUAUAAAAUAAAAUACCAUGCCAAUGGAGUUGACAAAGAUCCAAUAGAGAUUGAUUUUACUCCGCCUUUCAGGUAUAAUCUCUUUUUUCCAUUUUGUUUAAUUAAUGUAGUUAGCCAUUUUUAUUUCGUAAUGACAUAUAUUGGUUGCUGUAAAUUAGGAGGAUUGACAUGAUUGAAGGACUGGAGUCUAUGGCAAAUCUUGAUAUACCGAAAGAUCUUUCUAGCGAAGCUGCAAAUAAAUACUUGGUAGAUGCAUGUGCAAAGUUUGAUGUCAAAUGCCCACCACCUCAGACAACAGCAAGAUUAUUAGAUAAGGUUAUUCUCCAUUCAAUUACAUUUCUUGAGAAAUUUGAAGGAAGGUAUGUUUUGUCGGGUUUGUUGCAUUAAGGGGCAGUAAGACUAUUGAAGAAGCGAACUAAUGAAGCAAGAUCUGAGCUGAAAAGAAACUGUGUGGGGCUUUGUUGCAUUAAGGGGCAGUAAGACUAGUGAAAGAAGCGAACUAAUGAAGCAAGAUCUGUGUGUGGAAUUUCAGACUCUUUGGCCUAGUUUCUGGAACAAAUUCUGUUGUUUGAAAAUUUAUAGCCUGGCUGAAGAGGUCCUUACGACCUAGAAUUCUGUAAAUAACUGUAUGAUGAGUUUUGCUAUUUGCUUUUGCAGCUUGUUGGGCAUUUCCUGGAGGAGACAUGUGUGAACCCGACCUUUAUUAUUAACCAUCCAGAGAUAAUGAGCCCAUUGGCAAAGUGGCAUAGGUCAAAGCCUGGAUUGACCGAGCGGUUUGAGCUAUUUGUCAACAAACAUGAGGUCUCUUGGUUUAUCUGCUGCUCCCAAAUUACAUCUAACUCUACUGAUGGCUAAUGUUGUCUACAAAACUCUUUCAGGUAUGCAAUGCUUACACAGAGUUGAACGAUCCUGUCGUACAGCGCGAACGCUUUGCUGCGCAGCUGAAGGUACUAAGAUACAGAAAGAGGAUAGCAAGUUCAUUAGAAAAAUGAGGGGUUUUAUAUAGUCUGCUCUAUAAUCUGAAUUUUCAUUUUCACUCUUAGUGCAGUUUCUUAGGAAAUUGUUGUAGUCAUCCCAUCAAGCGAAGAAGUUGGUUUUCAUUAGAAAACAUUUUUAAAGAGGGGCACAUAUAUGCAAAUUCAGAUUUUGUAGAUAAAUAUAUGUAAAUAGAUAAAUUACGGGUAUUGUAUGAAAAAUAUCUCUGAAAAAUAUCUCUGUAAGUAAACCCUAAACCCUGUUCCCUCUGUUUAGGAUUUUGGGUUUAGGCUCUAGGACUAAAUGCUACAAUAUUGAUAAGAAAUUGAAGUGCUGUGGUGUUGUGGAAAUUAUCACAUAAUCAUGAUUCUAAUCUAUUGUUCAUGGUUUUAGGAUCGACAAUCAGGUGAUGAUGAGGCAAUGGCUUUAGAUGAAACCUUUGUUACUGCUCUGGAAUAUGGCUUGCCCCCAACUGGGGGGUGGGGAUUGGGGAUUGAUCGCCUUGCUAUGUUAUUCACAGAUUCACAAAACAUUAAGGUUUGCCUUUUUUUUUUUUUUUUUUUUUCAGAUUUAAGUUAAAAGUCUCUGUAAGUGCUCUGAGAAAUUUAAUGAGUUUGUCAAAAUAACAUUUGUUUUCCUUUUUUAUUUGGUGGCUGCAGGAAGUCCUUCUAUUCCCUGCCAUGAAGCCUCAAGAUGAACCUUCAUCCAAAGGUAAUUGAAUUUGAAGCUUGUUUUUCUCUUUUGUGAAUAGAAUUCAAAUUGUUGCUUCUGUACUUCUUUCGGUAUGAAAGAUCAGUUAGAGAUAUGCUAGCUCCCAUCCCAACUGGAUUAUUUUAAGUGAAAAAUAAAAGAAAACAAAUUCUUUCCUUGUGAGCCAGAGAAACUUUCUAAAAAGUAGGUUCAAGGGUAACACGAACUAUGUCAUUUGGAAACAUGUUUCUGAACUCUAGUUUUUUUGCCAUUGUUUGAUUCCAGAAAAUCCAAGCUCUGUGGGAACUUAAUGGUAUACGUUGAAAAAAAAAAAGAUAUCGAGUAAUCCAUUACGUUGUUAGAUAUUUCAUUAACUUACGGUUAUCCAGUAAAAGAAAAAAAGUGUACAAGAAAACCAGAAGGGUGAUCAGAUAUCUUAAGCAUGCUCAUGUUGUGUACUUUCAAUUAAGCAUUGUGUUUGUUUGAGUUGAGAAACCGUUUUUUGGUGAUCGGCAUUUAAAAUUCUAGUUGCCACUCAAACAACUCAGGUAAAGACGAAUUGACUCUGGAAAGGCCAUCAUGAGUACCAAAAGAUUGACAUCCUAAAAAAAUCUAAUAUUUAGUAUGCUUGAAGUCAAGCAAGUUGCAAUCUGAUAGUAUAAUCUCGAUAGCUGUUUUCUAGAUCACUCGACGUUUUUUUAUUUUUAUUUUGUUGGAAAAUUCAUAAUCAUGGUGCUUGAUGGUCGAAAGUAAACAACUCCCGAAGCUAGCGCGGUGAACCGGUGAUGCAUGAUUGAAGUUGGAUUCUAAAUUGUCAUGCCCUAUGUUGGAGCUUAGAUUCGGCUCCUAUUUAUCUCUAGGGAUAUACUCAGCAAGGCCUUAUUCUUCUUCUUUUUUCUUAUUUCCGUGUUACUAUCUAUCUAACCUUGUUAGAUAACUUUUUCUAUGGCAUGCAUCGUCAUCCCCUAAGAUAGCCAAACUAAGCCUUUUUUUGGUGGGGGAUUUUGCAGCAGCUUAGCUGGUUAUACUUCAAUCAAUCUCAACUUUGGAAUUUCCGAAAUUCUAUGUGACAAAGAGGAUUUCACGGAGAUUGAAAGGCGUACUCUUGGCUACUUCAUUUUUGUUCACUUUAUCUUCUAAUUGAAUAGGUGUUCAUAUAGAUUCUUAACUGCAAAAGUAUGCUUUUGUUUGCUGUUGUUUUUUUCAUUUUCUCACAUUACAGUUGUUGUAUGUGUUAAUUUUUGUUGCUGUCUAGUAACAUUCACAUGGGUAUUUAUACAGUUGAUGGGAUUUUUUUUUUUUUUUUUUUUUUUUGGGUGUUUUCACAAUCAGUGGGUUCAGUUGUUCUUGUAAUUUCUUAGGUAAAACUGUAUCCAAGUAACAUGAACUUUGGGUCAUAUUGAAAUUAGGCUAUUCAACUUUUGAAAAUCUUGGUUUUACUACAAAACCCUUGAAAUUGAUUAGUUGGAUUCAUUCGAUGGUUGUGAGAAAUUAUUAUUUGCAAUAUGCAAUUUGCCCUUUGCACGUUAUAAGCUUCGUUUGAUUAUUUUUUUUUAUUUGGAUUAUUAUUCUUUUUAUCAUUCUCUCAGGUUUGUUUGAUAUCUCAUUGGCUACUGCUUUAAAUUGCAUCGGUAUCCAAUCAUCUUUUGUAUGUAUAAAAUUUUGAGACUAUUGUUUGCAGCGAAAAAUCAGAAACUGGGCGAACUAUUUACCUGUCUAGCCUCUUUACAAAAAAAUAUUACCUAUCUAGCCUUCUUUUGAAAAAUAUUCUCCAUCUAGCCUCAUUUUCAAAGAUUAGAGAAAAAAAGAGAAAUUAAUACCUUUAAUAUAUAUUAAGGGGUUAAGUAGGGGAAAUUAUUUUUUUCUCUCUCCUCUUCUAUUUUUCGAGAUUCUUUCUCACUCUCUAAUUUUUGCGUAUAAUUUAUCUCAUAUCGAUUUAUUUUAAAAUAGAAAAUUUUUAUAUAGCGCAUCAACCAAUUUCAAUCUUUUUAUAUUUUGAUGGAAAUAUUAUGCAUGGUUCGGAAGGAGUUGAUUAUAAUGGUCCUGAUCCAAAACUAUUUGGAUUUCUCGUACUUUAGGUUUUAAUACAUUAAAACAUAAAAUUUAUAGGCCGAAUGGGAUCAAGAUUAUUUUGAUAUAAAAAUUAAUGGGAGAGGAGAGAGAAAAAGAUAAUCUCCCCCACUUAACCCCUUAAUAUAUAUUAAAGGAAUUAAUUUUUCUUUUUUUCUCUAAUCUUUGAAGAUGAGGCUAGAUGGGGAAUAUUUUUCAAAAGAAGGCUAGAUAGGGAAUAUUUUUUUGUAAAGAAGCUGGAUAGGUAAAUAGUUCAAACUGGGCUAUCUCAUUCUGAAAAAGGGGAAACUCAGUGUUCUCCAUCUAUUUACAUAAAAAGGAAUUACUAGAGAAUACUUUAAGAGUCUUUUUUUUAUUUUUUUUUUAAAUUUCCUGUGCUGUAUUAUUUUUGUUUCAAAAAUUCCACUAAACUAUCUAUUAUCAACUUCUGUACUGCAAGUAAUAAAUCUAUAACUCAGACAAAUUAUUAGUUCUUUUAAAACGGCACUGGAUGUAUAGUUGGCUCAUUUGGUUAGGUAAAAAAAAACUAGAAUAUUACAAAUAGCAAAAAAAAAAAAAGUUGAAAUAAAUAUUUCCAUAAAUUUAUUUUGGAGGCUCGUUUUGUUUUCUUUUCCUACCAUCUAACUGCCGCCUUUUUACUAUAAUUUAACUUCUGUUAAAAAUAAUAAAUUUACUGACACUUAUGUAGAAGUUGGUCAAAAAAUAAUAGUUAAGUGGUAUUUUUGAAAAAAUAACAAAAAAUAGCAUAUAAAAGUAGAUCUAAAAGUAAAGAGAUUGUUUUAAAAAAGAAAAAAAAUAUUCGAAUAUCACCCAUGUAGUUUCAUAUUUUCUCACUUUAGUACUCUGUAGUUUAAAAUGUAUCAUUUUUGUACCCAUUAAUUUUAUUUUAUUUUUUUAUUAUUCCAUCCACUAAUUUUUAUCGUUAAAGUAAUGACAAAGUUAAAACUAAAAGGUACUAAAGUAAAUAUUCGAUAAACUAUAUAGCCAGGGUAUCUGAAGUUUUUUAUAUAUGAUUUAAUGAAAGUUAACGAAGGAGUUGACGAAAAGAAAAAAAUAAAAUCACAGGGUACUAAAUUGAUAUAUUUUAAAUCACAUAAUACUAAAGUGAAAAAGUGCGAAAUUAUAUAUGUGGUGUUUAAAAUUUACCCUAAAAAAUUAUUAAAUAAACGAAAAAAAAAAAUCUAAAGCACAAUGUAGAAAGAUAUAAUUAAGCUAAUAUUUUAGUUAAAAAUAUUAAGCUAAUAUUUUUAGUUGAAGCGCUGAGCAAGCAUUUGGAAAAUUGGAAUCAAAAGUCACAGAGUCGUUGCAUCUCUAAACCUAACGCGUAGUUAAAAAAUAACCAAAAAUUUAAAAAAAAAACUUUUUUUAAUGAAAACCGGUGAACCGGAUAGUUAAACCAGGUGAACCGGAUCAUAUGGUUGACCGUUGACUGCUCCAUUUAAUGCUCGAGAAUAUUCCGUGCUUUUCGGAGUAUUCCAAUAUUGGGUGCACCCGGUCUAUAAUUACAGUUGUAUAAAAUUAUACCUUAAUAAAUAGUUACUGUCCCUUUAGUGGAGUUCUAUUUGGGGCAAAAAUUGUAUGGGCAUAAAAGUUUGGGGAGGAUGCAGAUGGGCGCCGCGUGGCCCGCGCGCCCAUCCUCGCCCUCCUCUCCCCUCCGCCGACUUCUUUCUCUCUCUGUCUCUAAAAAAAAAAACGGAGCUCACAAUUUUUUUUUUUUUUUUUAGGGUUUCCGAGGGUCGUGACUCGCGACGCGGCGUCCAUCGGCAUCGUCCAAACAACUUGUUUGGGGACGAUGCCCAGCAAAAUUUUGCCCUUCUAUUUGAUCCUUGCAUUUUUGAAUAUCUAAAAUAUUAAAAAAAAAAGAUUAUAUUAUAUCAAACCAAGGGCAUAUUUGUUUUUAUUGAAAGUGAAAGAGUGAUGUUGACUUCGACUGUAAAUAUUUAUUUUUUUUAUUUUCUUCGCUAUAAAUUAAAUUUGAAAAUAUUUUUUUUUUUUUCCAAGCGCCACAAUUGACUUUGACUAGAGUGAUACGGAAAAGAGAAAGAUGGAAAGAAUAAUAAAAACAUAGUAACUGGAAUUUUUCUUUUUUCACCCUAUAUGUGCUAGUGUAGAAAUUUUUAUUAAAGUAAUAAAAGAUGGAAUAGCAAAAAUAAAAUUUUCUUUAUUGAUUUCCAGUAAUCAAACAAACAAUAGUGGACAUUUUUUAAAUCUCAACUUUAGUUUAGCUAAAAUUAAUUCUUUCCCUCAAAAUUAGUUACGGGCAAACAAGAUGGCCCUAUAUUUGUGAAUUUUCAGAUGAUUUAAUUUAUUUUAGCAUCCAAAAACUACUAAAAAGUUUUUAUUUAAUCCUUGUCAAUAUUUGCUGUUGUAGGGCAAAUUAUUGGCUACACAUCAUGCAUUUGUACUUUUAUUAUGUUUUCUUUUGCUUUUAUCUCAUGUUGUGUUUCAAUUGUUUCGUCCAUAAAGUUAUAAAUUUUCUUAAUUUAGAAAUUAGACUUAUAAUGGCGAAUCCAUAAAUUUAUGUUGUGUGGGGCGUACAAAUGAACUGUGUCUCAAUUGUUUUAUCCAUAAAAUUAUAACUUUUCUUAAUUUAGAAAUUAGACUUAUGAUGGAGAACAGAUGAAUUUUUGGUGUAUGGGGGCGUAAAAACGAACAUAAUAAAAGUAAAAUAUUACUGAUAUUCAAUGCUUUAAAAUAUCGAAUUUAAGAGCUUGAGGACCAAGAAAUUUUUUUUUUCUUGAGAUAAAUCAGGAACUAGUACUAUAAUUCGAAUUUGAAAUAUCAGAUAUCAAUAAUCAAUUCCUUAGCCUAUUGCGGUAGUCACAAACAAUAUUAUUAAAAGGUCUUUAGUAUUUUAAUUUGAAUUUUACUAUAUAGUAAUCUUUGCAAAAAUCUAUGGCCUUUUGUGGGAUUAUAUUAUCAAAAGUAGUUAUUUAUAUAUUUUAAAAGGCCAAAAAAAUAUGCAUUUUUAAACUUGUAUCGAAUGCUAUAAAAUUACUUUGGAAAUAACAACUUUUGAUAAUAUAAUCCCACAAAAGGCCAUAGAUUUUUGCAAAGAUUACUAUAUAGUAAAANCAAAAGUAGUUAUUUAUAUAUUUUAAAAGGCCAAAAAAAUAUGCAUUUUUAAACUUGUAUCGAAUGCUAUAAAAUUACUUUGGAAAUAACAACUUACCUCUACACUAACUUUUAUCUACUAUAAUCUUGUAUAUAAUAUUAGAGGAGAGUUUUGAUGUAUUUUCAAUUUCUCGAAAGUUUCAGAAUAUAAAAAUUAUUGCGUUUUAACGCCACAAUUCAAAAAUUAGGCGUCAGUAUUCAAAAACAAAAAUAGAAAUAGGAUAAAUUAUACUUUUGGCCUUCAAACUAUGUAGCGUGCGACACUUUGAUCCUCAAAGUUCUAGUUCGAAUUUUCUAAAUUAUUACAGUUAAGUCUCAUGGGUACUGAUAUAUCAUAUUAGAAAAAAUUAAUCCAUGGGCUAAAGCGUAAGGGGCAUGGUUGUAACUUUACUAUUGCCAAGAUAUUUAUUGGAUAAAAACACAGGACAGUCCCUCGUACUAUUACAAAUAUAUAAGUAGGUCCUUUUAUUCUUUUAAUUUUCACACUAUAGUUUUUGAACUUCAAUAAACAUUAUACUUUAGUUUCUAAAUUUUUUAAAAAUUAUUUUUUAUUAUAAAAAAGCCUCUAUAUUCUUGCACAAUUUAAUUAUGCUUAAAUAAUUUAAACAACUUCCGAAGAACAUAACAUAAUUAUUUUGUAAAAAAUAAAUUUUUUAAUGACUAAAGAUUAUAAAAUAUAAUAAUAUAUAUGAAAGUUUAGUAGACUAAUUACUUUGAAUGACAAGGCAAUUGUACAGGGGCUAUCCAUACAUUUUGUUGCCUUUUUUUUUUUAACAAAUUUCUUAUGUUGCUGGGAAAAAUUGUAUCUUGCACUUGGUGUAUUUAUAUUUACCAUGCACCAACUAACACUAAUCAUCCAUCCAAAUCCUAUUUAAUCUUUUAAUUCUAAAUAUUUUAAAUUUGUAAUAUUUUGUAGGGGCUGUUGCUCAUUUACUCUUGUUUACUAUUCAAAAAUUUUAAAUUUAUCCUAAAAUUAUCAAAAUAUCUUUCUAAAUCAGCAUUCCCAUUAGUAAAUUUGACAAUAUUUGAAGGGGUUUUUAGAAAUCAAUAAGAGUAUUUUGGUCGAUCAGAAAUAUAUUAGAUAUUUUUAAAAUUUUGGAGGGUGUGUUAGAUAUUAUCCGUAUUUUUUAUUUGAUAUUUGAAUCAUUUUAUUUGAUUAGGUAUCAAUAUAUCAUAUGCUAGCUACCAAAGACUAAUAUUUUCUCACUAAUAUUUUUUGUUUUUUUAAUAGAAUUUUUAAGCCCUUCAAAAGAUAGAUGUAAGAGUUACAUUCUAUAAAUAGGGUGUACAGAUAAUAUUUUUUUUGAAAAAACUUCAAAUACCAUCCUUGUGAUUUCACACUUUCUCACUUCAGUAUCGUGUGGUUUAAAGUGUAUCAAUUUAGUGCCAUAUGGUUUUAUUUUUAUCUUUUUAUUAUCGAUUUCAUUAAUUUUUUUCAUUAAAUCAGUGACAAAGUUAAAACUAAAAGGUACUAAAGUGAAUAUUCGAUAAAUUUAAAUAGAGUAUCUGAAAUUUUUUUAUAUAUAGUUUAACGAAAUAUUAACGAAAAAGUUGACGAAAAAAUAAAAAUGAAACUAUACGAUACUAACUUGAUACACUUUAAAUUAUAAGGCACUCAAGUGAGAAAGUGCGAAACUAUAGGGGUGGUAUUU